rnacentral:lncRNA from 1 species
AGUCACGUUCAGGACCAGCAGUCAAUGGGUCAUCCAUGGCCACAACGGUCCCGAAUGGCAACGCAUUUUUUACCUUGCCAUUGGGCUCAGCUACAAAUACCAUGCUAGGUUUUGGUCCUGACACGAUGUCGUGAAAGUAAAAGUGAAGGUGAGUGAAUUUCUCUUCUUGAAAACCCAACAUUGUUGGGGAUAGGUUUUGAUAGUAAUUAGUGGCAGUGGCAAGGGAUAUUAUAGAGAGGAAAGUAAGGUUCAAAGAAAUUAGAAGAGUUAUGGAGAAUGUUGAGGAUUUUGCCAUGGUUGAUGCGAAUGAACAAAGAAUGUAGUUUUUGUUGUUGAGGAUAAUGAACUAAGAAUGCUUAUUGCUUAUUUCAAUUCGUUGUAUACAUGCCUAUUUAUAAUAGGUGUGGCUGCUUUGUUCAUUUGUAUAUAUUGAUUUGUCUAAAGCUGAAGUUUGUUGACCAAAAACUUUUAGAUAUAUGUCAAAAUAUGGUGGAAAAAUGAUAGACGCCAGAAACAUGUAAAGCGUUGUCAACGAAACAUCCGAGAAAUAUAGUGGAGAAAAAAAUAUAACUCAAUCGUAUUCACUCAGACUAAUGACUUUUUUUUUUUUUUUUAUGGGAAACCAUCAUUUUUGACAUUUUGGCUUCCUAACAUUAGUGGUUGUUAACAUUAUACAUAGAGUUUAAACAAUCUUGCAUAACAAUGUCAUGUCUUCCUUUCAAUAAAAAAUAAAACAAUGUCAUGUCUUCUAAGUCAUGUUUUUUACUUCAUGAAUAUUGUAUUUAAGAGGAUUGAUUUUGCAAUCUAAAAAGGUCUAACGACACAACUUGUUAUUUGUCUGUCUUCUAUUCAUGUUAAUUAAAAACGAGUCUUUUAUUAUGCGGCAACUUGCAUGAGUGGUUGCGACAUCCUUUACUGUGUAUGGACAUCUCUGUAAUUUUUUUUUUUUUUUUUUGCGGCAGCUUGCAUUUGUUUUUGGUUUUGGUGACACCGUAAAAACUCUAGUUGGCCUCCUUUAGCACAUCUUGGAGAGUCACUUUCUAUGUGUUAAUAUAAUCUUAUUUUGACAUGUUAAAAAAAAAAAAAAAAAAGUCAACUAAAUCAAGCCUUCCUAUUAAAGAAAAAAGUGAACCAAAUACCACGCAUUUUUUAUGAGCCAACCGUAAAUAAAUUUUCUAAUUAGUGUUGCAUCAUUUGCACCUCUAGAAGAUAUGAGGUGGCUCAUAUUUUCGUCAUGGUGUGAAAAAGAUGUUUAAAAGGCGUAUAAAGAAUUUUUUUUCCGUCAUUCAAAUUCAAAUGCUGGAAAUUUUAUAAACGGGAGAGGAAUGUUAUUUUAUUCAACAGAGAAGAGAACUUAGCUAGCUUCCAGUGUUAUGGGGUGUGUAGGACUUGACCGAAAAUUUAAUAUUAGUGCCAAGCCUUUGGUUGGAGGCUGCUAUAUAGAUAUGAUUGUGGCCGGUACAUUGGACACGUACAAAACUCAAAGAAUAGAAAUCAAAUUUGAGUAUUAGAUAGACUAUUACUCCAUUAGAAUAGAAGAGUGGGGUAUUAGUGUAUUACAUUAAUAGAUUAUUAUAGUUAAAUAUAAUUUUAGUCUCCAAGACCAAGGCUUAAGAUUUUUAUGUCCCAAACAAAUAUCUUUUUAAUAAUUUUAAAUGUUUUUCUAUUUGUAUCUUUUGUUGUAAAAGAUUUAUUUAGUGUUAAGCUCAUGAGUACAUAACUUUUUAUGGUUUAAUGCUGGUAAGUGUAUUUGUUUGCAUUCAUUUUCUGCAAAUUCAAUACGGAAACUUUUAGUUAUGACGUUAAGGGUUGAGUCAUGAUGUAAUUUUAUUGAGUACGUCAAGGAUUGAAAACAACAAUUUUAAAUUUGUUUUUACAAAAAUAAUAAUAAUAACUGCAGAGAUUGAAUUGAAACAAAAAAUAUUAUAAGAAAUGAAGCCAAAAAAUUUCUAUAAUUGACAGAACUAAAAUCAAAUUUAAAUCCAUUAAGAUUGUUAUAACAUCUAAUCGAGUUGCAUAGAAAAGACCAACAAACUAUUAGUGUGUCGAAUAUGAACCACCCAAAAUGAUCCAAAGGUAAACAUUUUCCAUUAGUAAACAUAAAUCAUAAUAUAUAACAAAAUAUAGAAAAUAAUAUCUUGUUAAAAAUUACUAUAAACUAGGUCCUUACAAACUAUUAAAACAAUUAGGUUUUUUUUUUUUUUUACAGAAUAUUAAGACAUUUAGUUAUAUUUAUUUACAAUUGUAUCAUUAAAAAAUGUUGAACCUAUCUUAUCUAUCAUAUUAUUUAUCAUUUUUUACUACUCAUUUAUUAUUUAUUGUUAGUUAUAAAAGAUAUGUAAAAAAAAUUGUAGGCAUUUAAAAAAUUAUAAUUAAUAGAAUUGAAAAUUUGAAAUGAGUCAAACAAAAAGGACAACAAAUUUUUUAUUUAGCUAUCUUUUACAAAUAUUUUUCUUAAUAGUCCUCUUAAACUUGAAGAUGAACAACAUAACAAUUGAUCAUGCCGGAUCUGGAGAUCUCUAGUUGGUGAUGGUGAAUGCCUUUGAAGGUUGGAUCUUCGUCACUAGCAACCUUCUUCUUCAGAGGAGAGUUUGCAGUUUUCGUACAUACUUCCACAAUGAAGUCAAUAACUGGACAAUGAGCAUACUUGGACCAAUGUCAUGAGUUAAUGGAUUUAGGAUUUUAGGGUGAUAGAAGAGGUUUAGGGUUUUGCCCUUGAAUUGUUAACUGGACAAUUGUCCUCGAGGGACACAUAUAAACAUAUUAAAAGGCCAUCAUUUUAUUUGUCCUAAACGGUCUAUAUCUUUCCAUGGGGUCUUAAUCCAGUGAUAUUUAGGGUGAUUCCAUGCUAUGGUCCUUACAUAUAAGCUUUGAAGGGUACCUGGAUUCAGGCAUGGAUUGAACAUUGACCCAAUAUGGAACAACAACACAAGACAUCAUGAGUUUUUUUAAUAAUCGGAGAUCAUGAAAUAUAAGGAAACAUGAGAAGGGGAAACAAAACUGUAUUGGAUGCUCAACCCAGUUUUAACGGAAUUCAUGGGGAGGUUGAGGGUACCUCCGUACAUGGGAAUUGGUCAAAAUAUUUCUCCUUCGUUUUUUUUCUUCGUUGAAUUAAAACUAAAAAUAAAUAUAUUGAAUUUAUAAACGAAUGUGGUAUUACAUGUUUAUUUCACCUAUUUGACUUUCACUUUAGGCGAGAGUGUGUAACAGAAGCAUAAUAACAAUUUACUGAAUAACAAAUCAAAAUAUAAACUCUACUUUUAUGAAGCACCUAUAAGGCUAGACCUAACUAAUAAUGGAACAUAAAUAUGUCAUACUCCACAAUGGCAUCUCCUUUAGUGUAAUCAACGGAAUAAAAUUUAGCUUGAGCAUAACCACGUACAAAACGAAAAGCCCCAGUUCCACCAACAAUGGCCAUUUCUCUAACAGGUUCACUCAUGAUCAUAUUUCUACCCAAUAUGCUAAGUGUGCUUCCAUUGAAAUGUCCAUCAGUGAAUGUCAUGGUCAUCACCAUCAUUAGUCCCAUCUCCUCUUGUGAUAUAGAGGUGUAAAUUCCUUGAGCCUUACCCACAAGUUUUGAUUCACGUUCGGGUCCAGCCGUCAAGGGGUCAUCCAUCGCCACAACUGUCCCGAAUGGCAAGGCAUUUUUUACCUUGCCAUUGGGCUCAGCUACAAAUACCAUGCUAGGUUUUGGUCCUGACACGAUGUCGUGAAAGUAAAAAUGAAGGUGAGUGAAUUUCUCUUCUUGAAAACCCAGCAUUGUUGGGGAUAGGCUUUUAUAGUAAUUAGUGGCAGUGGCAAGGGAUAUUAUGGAGACGAAAGUAAGGUUCAAAGAAAUGAGAAUUGUGGAACAUGAUGAGAAUUUUGCCAUGGUUGAUGUGAAUGAACUAAGAAUGCUUUUUGUUGUUGUUGUUGAGGAUCGGAUAAUGAACUUAUAAGAAUGCUAUUACUAUGAAAAAUGUCUCUGAUCCGAUCAGUGGUAUAUUUCAAUUGGUUUGGAUACAUGCCUAUUUAUAUAAUAGGUGUGGCUGCUUCUUUCAUUUGUUUAUAAUAUUAUCUGUCUCAAGCUGAUGUUUCUUGACCAAAAACUUUAGAUAUAUGUCAAAAUACGGUAGAAAAAUGACAGACGCCAGAAACAUGUAAAAUGUUAGUUUUCUUAGCAAACGAAGCAUCCGAGAAAUAUAGUGAAAAAUUUAUAAGCUCAAUCAUAUUUUCUCAAAUUAAUUAUUAUUUUUUAGUAUAAAAUAAUUUGUCGUGUAAUCAAUAUGCUGAAACAAUUCUUCAUUGUUUGUGAGAUUAUGAAUUCGCAACCAUUUUCUGGAAAUCUAUUGGUUUUGUGGACCACCUAUUCUACCAAGGCGAUGACUUAUAAUAUGACUGGUUGCGGUAAGGAACGAUUGGCACCACUAUUUUUCUAUUUCUGGCUGCUUGUUGGUGGUUGUGGCGUGAGAGAAAUAAGUUGUAUUUUGCAAAUGAAUUGGUGUCUUCCUUCACCUUAAGGCACACCACUUUUAAUUAUAUGCUCAGUUGUUAUCGAAGUGUUUCCUUAAACAGGGGCAUGAAUCUGCCACGAGGUCGGUAAAGUGGAAUGUGUCCUAUGUGAAUGGCAUGAUUUUAUAUGUUGAUGGGUGCAGUCUUGGUAACCCCGGUGUCUCCGGGUUUGGCGGUUUGCUUCGUAAUGAUGAUGGUGCUUGGUAUUGCGGAUUUGCAGGUAAGAUUGGGUUUUCCAAUAUCCUGCAUGCAGAACUCUUGGCAGUUUAUCAUGGAUUGAGAUUGGCUUGGGAAUUUGGCAUGUCAGAGUUGGUGUGUUAUUAAGAUUCUAAAACAGCAAUCAAGUGGAUUAAGCAACCUGUUAACGGAAGGUAAUGUCUGUGUUGAUUACCUUGCAAAGAUUGAGGCUAGCUCUCAUGAGGCACGCCAGUCUUUUGUUGCACCUCCAGCUGGAAUCAGCAACCUCCUACUAGCAAAUGCGAGUGGGAUCUUUUUCCCUAGAUAGUUGUUUCUUCUUUUUGUUUUUCUUUUUGCAUUUUGUUACCAAAAAAUAAAUAAUGAUUUGAUAUGAGUAAAAUCAUUUAGGAUAAUUUUCAUUUCUAAAAAAAUGGGAUGACAUUAGUUAUAAUUGGGAAAGAAAAGUUAAAAAGUUUUGUAUUGAUCAAGAAUUCAAGACCCUCUCUAUUUUUUAAAGAAAUUGUGGGCUCUAUUUAUGAAAUGGAAAUACGCACUCAAGAAUUUAGUGGAUCUCAUAUUUAGCUGGACCUAUAUUUUGUGACUCAUCAAACUCCUUAAUGUGAUUUUUUCCGCUCAUUAACGAAACCAUCCAUUUCUUUGAGAAAUAAAGAUGAUAUUUUUACCAUCUUAAUCCAUUUGAUGGUACCCACCAAUUAAUAUCAUUUUUCGUGCUGAUAUAUCUUCAAAUGGAAUCAUUAAUUUCGUUUGAGAAAUGGAUAUGACCUUGUUGGAGCAAUAUUUAAGAAUGGUUCAAAAGUAUUUAAGCUACCGAGAAAAAUUACUGCCAUGAGUCGUCGACUAGGACACUCUUUUUAAAACUAUCAACUAUGACAUCCCAAUAUAAAACAACACAUCUACAAUUGUAUUUGAAUCAUACUACAUUGUAAGAUACUAAGAUCCAUUCUAGAAAUACACCUUUAAAAUGGUACUUAGACCACUUAAUAUGAUACCGAGACCACUCUAACUUCCGAAGGAACAAAUUAAUCGAAGGGGCAGAAAAGGAGAAGAAAGAAAAUCCGUUGAUAGAUGAGUUUUGGUGUGAAGAGAAGUUAGGGUGAGACAUUAUUUUAUUAGUGCAAGAGCCAAAGAGGCAACCAAAAUGGAGGGAUGGGAUCAGUUGACCAUCAUGGGAUCAACGACAUGAUCUCACCUCAUUAAGAAUUGGCGCAGAAAUGAGUUUGCAUUUGCAAAUCACAAGAGGACAAGAGGACUCACACGUUGGUGUUUUCAAACACAUGUUGAUGCGUGCAAACCUGUGACGAGAAGAAGACAUGUACCAAAUAAAAUUAAUUCCAAAAAAUUAAUUAAUUUAAGAUUUCGGAUCUUUAAAAAAUAAUACACAACUUAGUCCAAACUCAUGCCCAGAUCCGACCUGACGACAUCAUUGUCUUCACGUGUGUAGUGUUGAAAUUGAUUGCAUCAUCUCCCCUUUAAAAAAUUGGAUAUCUCUUUGGGGCAAGCCCCAAGAGCCCUUCCUCCAAUAUAUAAAUACUUGUGUUGUGAGAAGUAUCUCCAAUGUGGGACUUGUCGAAAUUUUUUAAUUCACACACAAACACACUUUUGUUCUUAAUUCAAUUUUUCACUUGAAUUUAAAAUAACUCGGAAGUUUCUUUUAAGAUUGUGCAUAAGUAGAUGUGUUUUGCAACUUGAACAAUUGUAUAGUGAAUAAGAUUCAGAUUUAUUAGAGUGACUCGUAAUCUUAAACUCUAUCUCUAAUAUCAAAACGUACACAAUAUUUUCUUAUGUGUAUUUUCAAAAAGUUUGUCCAUUAAGACCUUACAUAUCAAUCUUGAUUUAACAAAUGCUCUACGAAUUUUUCCUAGAAUUUCAUAGGAAUAGACCCUGACUUGCACAUUCACAAAGGUCCGUAUGUCAAGAGUACUGCUCUUAUAUCAGAGUAUUCCACUUUGCGUAAAUGUACGUAUGUCAAGGGUACUCUUGUAUCAAAGUACUCCACUCUACAUAGAGUAAAAAUCUCAUGAACAAUUUCCUUUAAUUCACGUCCUCUUUAUCGCUUUAGAAAUCAUGUUUUUAUGUUCUCCUUCUGUUACCUCACAACAUAUGUUUAAUCGCCUACUAAAAGCAUAAGUGAAUAGUUUCAUUGUUGAAUAAAAUAUUACAGAAGCAGAUAUAAUGUUUAAACCCACACACAAAAACUUAUAUAUGUUAAAAAAAUCACUAAACAAAAUAACUAAAAAAUAUGUCUUCAAAGAUAACUUUUCACUAGUAUGUAUAGUACGCUAUACCGACUCGUUAAAAUAGAAAUGGAAUAUCACGAGACUCACAAGUCACAAUGCUAGCAAUUCAAAUAAUGGUCCUUUGUCCCUUUGGAGGAAACACUAUAAUGAGUCUGAAGAUAUCUAUUUCUUUAGUGGUAUAUUAAAGUGACAAUAAUUAACAAUGUAUACUGAAUUUAAUAACCAAUGUGGUAUUACAAUGUUUAUUUCAUCGGUUUGCCUUUCACAUUGGGUGAGAGUUUGACAAGAACAAAAUAAUAAUAAAUGUAAAAUAAUCUCUACUUUUAUGAAGCACCUAUGCCUAACUAAUAAUGGAACACAAAUAUGUCAUAUUCUACAACGGCAUCUCCUUUUGUAUAAUCAACCGAAUAAAACUUAGCCUGAGCAUAUCCACGUACGAAACGAAAUGCCCCGGUUCCACCAACUAUGGCCAUUUCUCUAACAGGUUCACUCAUGAUCAUGUUUCUACCCAAUAUGCUAAGUGUGCUUCCAUUAAAAUGUCCAUCAGUGAAUGCCAUGGUCAUCACCAUCAUUAGUCCCAUCUCCUCUUGUGAUAUAGAAGUGUAAAUUCCUUGAGCCUUACCCACAAGUUUCGAGUCACGUUCGGGCCCAGCCGUCAAUGGAUCGUCCAUGGCCACAACCGUCCCGAAUGGCAACGCAUUUUUUACCUUGCCAUUAGGCUCAGCUAUAAAUACCAUGCUUGGUUUUGGUCCCGACACAAUGUCAUGAAAGUAAAAGUGAAGGUGAGUGAAUUUCUCUUCUUGAAAACCCAGCAUUGUUGGAGAUAGGCUUUGAUAGUAAUUAGUGGCCGUGGUAAGGGAUAUUAUGGAGAGGAAAGUAAGGUUCAAAGAAAUUAGAAGAGUUAUGGGGAAUGUUGAGGAUUUUGCCAUGGUUGUGUUAAUGAACUAAUAACUAUGAACUCAGAUCCGAUUGGUGG